GAUGAACGCUAGCGGCAGGCCUAACACAUGCAAGUCGAGGGGUAGAAGGAGCUUGCUCCUUUGAGACCGGCGCACGGGUGCGUAACGCGUAUGCAAUCUACCUUGUACAGGGGAAUAGCCCAGAGAAAUUUGGAUUAAUGCCCCAUAGUAUAUAACCUUCGCAUGUUGGUUAUAUUAAAGUUCCAACGGUACAAGAUGAGCAUGCGUCCCAUUAGUUAGUUGGUAAGGUAACGGCUUACCAAGACGAUGAUGGGUAGGCGUCCUGAGAGGGAGCUCCCCCAAACUGGUACUGAGACACGGACCAGACGCCUACGGGAGGCAGCAGUGAGGAAUAGUGGGCAAUGGUCGCAAGACUAAACCAGCCAUGCCGCGUGCAGGAAGACGGUCCUAUGGAUUGUAAACUGCUUUUAAACAGGAAGAAACCCUCCCACGUGUGGGAGCUUGACGGUACUGUAGGAAUAAGGAUCGGCUAACUCCGUG
rnacentral:rRNA from 1 species